UUGAAUAUUCUUGAUGGGUUGUAGCUGGCUCUUAGGAGCAUGUGCACGCUUGUCUUGACUUUAUUCAUCCACCUGUGCACCUUUUGUAGUCUUGGGGGUAGAGAGCAGUCAACUAUCGGACGGCCACUGGUCUUUCUGGAUGUGAGUAAUGCUGAGUGCGAGAGCAUACAGCUUUUCUCAAAAGACUUGCAGACCUCUCCUUUAAGUCUAUGUAUUCAUAUACCACAUAGUAUGUUGUAGAACGUGAUCAAUGGGCCUAUGUGCCUAUAAUAAUCAUAUA
rnacentral:misc_RNA from 1 species